GAUCUACGACUACGGUUAUAGCAGUAGGAGUCUCAGUUGCAGUCGUACUAGCGAUUGCAGCUGUUGUGUUUUUGUCCUUAGAAAGAAGCAAAUAUUACCUUGUUUGAAGACCACUACGUCUUCUAAUACUACCAAGCACUAUGUUGAAAAUGGACCAGAGCAAAACUAUGAAGACCUGGUUGACAGAGAUGGACACAAUACCAUCUACUCUGCACAGGACAUAAGUAUUGAUUGUGCUGACGGCAAAGCUCGCUAUCACAAUAAAGAAAGGGAUAAGGGUAUUAAGAGUGAAACAAAUGACAAAUGCAACUCUGACUAUUAUACCAUGGUGGCCCUAGAAGAUGUUUAACAAAAUUACAUGGAUUGAACGUAUUCAAAAUCAAUUAAAAAAGCUCGGAAAACAAACAUGGUCCUGGUAUAAAAAUAUGCAUUAAACAUACUAAUAUAGUGACUUUAACAGACACAUGUCUAUCAUCCAUAGUAUGAAUGGCCGAUGCAUAAGAUAAAUGACGUUUCAAAGCAUCUACAGUAGCGGUCUUCAAUUCAAAGACUAACAAUUCUAUAGUUUUAAGAGCAGUAUAGCGAUCGGUAGUCUAUAUGGAUACGAAUUAUGGACCGAUUACCAUAUAAGCGAUAUGAUACUCUAAGAGCUCUUGCAAAACGUUUGUAUUAAAUGUAUGCAGUAUGUUAAAUCAAUGGUGAACGCAGACUUUAUAAGCAUGACUGAAUGUAUAUUCUGUCGAAAAUUGUAUGAAAACGCACAUUCAGUCCAUUGUACCACAUCAGUACCUCGCUUAACAUGCGUUAAUACACUUGUUUGAUAGGAAUCUUAACACUCGUACAUAGACGAACGGUUUUAUCUCUGAUAUUUAUUUAUCGGUACGCAAAUAGUAUGUGAACGCAAUUUUAAAUCAAUACAAAUAAUCAGAUGCAUUUCCAUCUGUGUGAGUGUAAAACUAAUGCAUAAAAGGUCUUCUCCCUCUCUGAGCAUUAACACCUGUUUUAUUGUACCCGUAACAGGUUUUCAUUGAUCACCAUAUAACACGUCAAUAGGAUUAUUAAACCAUCGUUACUUUGGGAAAUGUCUUUGGGAGGCUGCAUCAUACCGCUCUUAAGUAAUAUAAAUAAAACGUUUAUUUAUGUCUUUACUAACGUAUAAUUAGUGAACUUUCUAUAUGAAGCGCUACUUAACAUACUUGUAUCAGCAUGUAACAUAGCUAUACCGCGAUUUUCAUGUGAACAUUUCUUCGAGUGUAUGUUUUGUUUUAUUAUUCAAUUUGAUGCUUUUCACAUGUAUAUUUACCUUUUUAAAGUUGUGUUCAUUUAUGUUGAAGAUUUGUUAUUCUCUUCGUUUUGCUUAGGAUAAAAACAAUAAUGAAUUGUGACAACAUUCCGUAUACGAACAUAGAGUAAUGGCAAAAUUGUGCAUGUCCCCUUUGUUUCUAAAUUUCCCAAAUGGCAUGUUAAUGCCACUUAAUACUAAUACUAAGUUAAUACUAAGAACACAAACUGUAAUCGCGAUAAGGGGCAUACAGAUUAAUGACACUUGAAAACUGUAAGAACACACGCUAUGAUUGUGAUAAGUGGUAUAGAGAUGAAUGCCACUUGAAUACUUGAAGAAUACAAGCUGUGAUCGCGAUAAGUGGUAAAAAGAUUAAUGCCACUUGAAUACUAUAAGAACACAAUGUGUGAUUGUGAUAAGUGGUAUUCAUAUUUAGAACAAUACACUAUAAAAACGGA